AUUUAUUUGCUUAUUAAUAUUCACUUGUUAUGUAAACAGGAGACAAGAUAACAGACCUGAAUCAGGACAAAGCUUCCAUCUUGAAACCCAAGCUGCCACCUGUAACAGCAAAACCAACCAAACCAAAGACAACAACAUCUCCCACAGUGACAGCACGCCGAUUUGAGACAUGGGAGAACUCUUCAAUAUUCAGCUCUGUUCCUGCUUCUAAAGUUGAUGCCAUGGGCAAAGAACGCUACAUUGCUCCACAUGUGGUCUAUAAGACAGAUAAGAAGCCAGAUGAACCCUGCUCCAUCACCACCUCUCUGAGUUACUUCCCUGAGGAGGAGGCUG